rnacentral:rRNA from 1 species
AAAUUGAAGAGUUUGAUCAUGGCUCAGAUUGAACGCUGGCGGCAGGCCUAACACAUGCAAGUCGAACGGUAACAGGAAGCAGCUUGCUGCUUYGCUGACGAGUGGCGGACGGGUGAGUAAUGUCUGGGAAACUGCCUGAUGGAGGGGGAUAACUACUGGAAACGGUGGCUAAUACCGCAUAACGUCGCAAGACCAAAGAGGGGGACCUUCGGGCCUCUUGCCAUCAGAUGUGCCCAGAUGGGAUUAGCUUGUUGGUGAGGUAACGGCUCACCAAGGCGACGAUCCCUAGCUGGUCUGAGAGGAUGACCAGCCACACUGGAACUGAGACACGGUCCAGACUCCGUCCAGACUCC